rnacentral:rRNA from 1 species
AGCGGCAACAGCUCAAAUUUGAAAUCUGGCGCAAGCCCGAGUUGUAAUUUGUAGAGGAUGUUUCUGGCGACGUGCCUUCCGAGUUCCCUGGAACGGGACGCCAUAGAGGGUGAGAGCCCCGUACGGUUGGAUGCCUAGCCUCUGUGAAACUCCUUCGACGAGUCGAGUAGUUUGGGAAUGCUGCUCUAAAUGGGAGGUAUACGUCUUCUAAAGCUAAAUACCGGCCAGAGACCGAUAGCGCACAAGUAGAGUGAUCGAAAGAUGAAAAGCACUUUGAAAAGAGGGUUAAAAAGUACGUGAAAUUGUUGAAAGGGAAGCGUUCAUGACCAGACUUGGGCAGGUUGAUCAUCCGUGGUUCUCCGCGGUGCACUCUGCCUGCCCAGGCCAGCAUCAGUUCGCCCCGGGGGAUAAAGGCUUUGGGAAUGUGGCUCCCUCGGGAGUGUUAUAGCCCACUGUGUAAUACCCUGGGGUGGACUGAGGUUCGCGCUCUGCAAGGAUGCUGGCGUAAUGGUCAUCAACGA